rnacentral:tRNA from 1 species
GCCAGUGUGACAUAGUGGUUUGAGUGUUGGACUACAACUGUGGAGACCAGGGCUCAAUUCCCAGCUUUGCCA